GACGAACGCUGGCGGCGUGCUUAACACAUGCAAGUCGAGCGGUAAGGCCCUUCGGGGUACACGAGCGGCGAACGGGUGAGUAACACGUGAGUAAUCUGCCCAUCACUUCGGGAUAACUCCGGGAAACCGGUGCUAAUACCGAAUAUGACCACUUCAGGCAUCUGAUGGUGUGGAAAGUUCCGGCGGUGAUGGAUGAGCUCGCGGCCUAUCAGCUUGUUGGUGGGGUAGUGGCCUACCAAGGCUUCGACGGGUAGCCGGCCUGAGAGGGUGACCGGCCACACUGGGACUGAGACACGGCCCAGACUCCUACGGGAGGCAGCAGUGGGGAAUAUUGGACAAUGGGCGAAAGCCUGAUCCAGCAACGCCGCGUGAGGGAUGACGGCCUUCGGGUUGUAAACCUCUUUCAGCAGGGACGAAGCGCAAGUGACGGUACCUGCAGAAGAAGCACCGGCCAACUACGUG
rnacentral:rRNA from 1 species